rnacentral:lncRNA from 1 species
GUUUUAGGCAGGCUGUGUUUAACAGGUUUGCUGUUUAAAUUAUUAGAAAUAGACUGGUGACCCACUCCCAGGAGGCAUAAAAAAUGUCAAGUCAGUUUAGUCAACUUGUAAGUUUUUGGCAGUUUAGUGUUUGACCAGUCAAAUUUUGAACACCAGCCAUGGCUCUGACACAACACCCUGUGUCAUACAUAGGACUAGAGGGCAGAACUAACACCUGAGGAGAAAUUAGGGUGCCUUAAGGUCUAGGGAACAUACCUUAGAGUGCAGUCAAAUUAACUCCUAGGAAAUAGCUGGAGAAGGAAGCUGAGACACAAAAGUCAAAUAUUAGCUGUUUGGGAGCAUUUGCAGCUCUGAAGGACUCCUCCUUCUUUGCAAGGAUCUGUUUGCCAAUGGAAGGACUGGACAUGUCCCUUUGAAAACCAAAGCAGAGAUGCUGGAGCACAAUUCUACAGGGGAAAGAAACUCCGUGCUAUAUCAUGGCUGGUGAAGGUUGGA